rnacentral:misc_RNA from 1 species
AGUCGUAACAAGGUCUGUUGGUGUUCCAGUCGGAGGGAUCAUUACAGAGUUAUCAAACUCCCAAACCAUGUGAACCUACCUACGUUGCCUCGGCGGAAGCAUGUCGGCGCGGCCUACCCUGAAGCUACCCUGUAGCGGACGGCCGGCCCGCCCCGCAGGGCGCCGGCGGACCCCUAAACUCUUGUAUUUUAGUGGACAUCUGAGCGUCUUAUUAAAUAAGUCAA